rnacentral:rRNA from 1 species
CCUACGGGAGGCAGCAGUGAGGAAUAUUGGUCAAUGGACGAGAGUCUGAACCAGCCAAGUAGCGUGAAGGAUGACUGCCCUAUGGGUUGUAAACUUCUUUUAUAAAGGAAUAAAACGAGGCACGUGUGCCUUUUUGCAUGUACUUUAUGAAUAAGGAUCGGCUAACUCCGUGCCAGCAGCCGCGGUAAUACGGAGGAUCCGAUCGUUAUCCGGAUUAAUUGGGUUUAAAGGGAGCGUAGAUGGGUUGUUAAGUCAGUUGUGAAAGUUUGGGGCUCAACCGUAAAAUUGCAUUUGAUACUGGCAGUCUUGAGUACAGUUGAGGUAGGCGGAAUUCGAGGUGUAGCGGUGAAAUGCUUAGAGAUCACGAAGAACCCCGAUUGCGAAGGCAGCUUACUAAACUGUGACUGACAUUGAUGCUCGAAAGUGUGGGUAGCAAACAGGAUUAGAUACCCUUGUAGUC